UAAAAAUAUACAUACACUAUAUAUAUUAUACAUAAACUGCUUUACAAGUUCAAGUGUUCCAUCAUUUCCUGCAAAAUUUUAAUGUUAAAAGAGUAUAACUAAGAUAAUUACCCCAUGACACAUCCUUUGAAUCCAGUUUUAUGUUUGGUUCUGGAGUUCCCUAUCUACUCAGUUCCAUAUUCUUAUUUGAUAAUAACCUUCAUUUAAAAUAUUUUUAUUAAUAGUCUGCUACAUUUGCCAACUUAGAAGCAAGAUUAAAAUGACUAUUUUGGCAAUCUUAAAUUAAUAUUUCAAUUUUGAUUAUAUGCAUUUAUUACAAUUUCAAAACAGCAGUGCCACAUGUUGAUUCAUGUUAUUUGUAUGCCCAGAUUCCUCCAUGCUUAUAGCUAGCCAGUUGCUUCCAUUUGUGAAAUUUAUUUUUAUUACUCUAUUCUAAUUAUUUUUUAUUUUUAUUUAGUCAUUUAAAAAAUCGGAUUAAUUUUGAUAUUUAUGCAUGUCAUAAAGUUUGCUCCUAAAAACAGUGAUAUUGGCUUUAGUUUCUCAUCUUUACUAAAGCAAUACAGACAGACGCCCAUCUUCCUAGGGGAAAUAUGGCAUCAAAAUUUCUGUGGUUAUUCAUGUUACUGUCUUCAGAAAAAUUCCUCCUGAAAAAUUGUGGAAUUGUUCUUGUACUCAUGUCAUGAUAUUCCUUUUAGUUUUUUUCAACUUAAAUGUUUUGUCUUGUUUUACAUCUAGAAAUGCAUGUAUCUUAAAAUUAUAAAGCAAUGUUAAUUUAAUUAUUUUAAACUUUAGCUGCUUUGGAUAAAAAUUAGAGUUGUGUCCAUUAUUAAGGAAACAAUAACAUGAGGAAGAUCAACUGCAGAAAAGAUAAUGACUAAUAGAUAACAUAAAUAGUAUAGGUUUCUCUAGCUUGCCUGUUCUCUGAUAAGUUAUUUUUAGAGGUCAAAUUUUAAACCUGGAUUAAUAAAGAUAUUUUUAAAGAUAGAAGACCCUAAUUUUAAAAGUUUCUUUAACUUUAUAGGAAGAUUCAUUUUAUACCCACACUGAAAUCUGGUCUAGUAACUAGUAACAUCUGUAUUAAAUAUUGAAAAGAUAGAGUUAAGAGUUUUCAGUUGAAUCUUUAUGGGUUUGUUGUUUUACAAAAUA
rnacentral:lncRNA from 1 species